GUCAGCUGUGAGCAAGCUAGUGGGUGGGAGGAAGGUGCAGGGCUGGUGAGAGCGGAGGGUGUUUCAAGGAGACAGGAAACAGUGACAGAGGAAGUAUAUGAGAAAAAGGCAUCCUGAAGUAAACUCACAGGAACAUACAUCACAGAUUCCUGCUGAACCUGGAUGGAGAGGAAAACAAGUAACUGCAGGCUACAAAAGUAAAGCAACAUAAGCUUGCUGUUCCUUCAAAACAGGUUCUGAGGCUGGGCGAAUUACAAUACAAACGCACUGCAAUCAGUUUUCAAGGAGAAUCAAUUUUCGGGGUCUCAAGGGACAGCAGCACAUUGCUUCAGCACAAUUCUCUGGCACUACCAGGAGCUCUCAGCUGGCUCAGAAGGAUGCAGCUAAGUGAAAGAUGAAAGAACUGCUGCAGAUCCACAGCCUUGCUAAUGGGAAUACUGCUACUGUGCAGCAGUGGAGUUAAAGCGCGAGUGAAAGGAAAGGGAAGAGAAAACCAGUGCAGGUAAAGGAGAAAAUGUCCUACGGAAUACAGCUGAACAGAAGAAAUUAAAACAGACAGCAUAAAAAAGGUUGCUCACCUCUCCUCACGAUUCUGUCCCACACAGACCCGUCCUCCAUGUCGAGGGGUUGGAUUGCUGCAGGAACGCUGACGAACUUGAAAGCCUAUUCCACAAGUGGUACUACAAGGUGACCAAGAAGUCCAUGGUGUCCAGCCUCCAUUUCUGGUAGAAUAAAAAGCUCAGGCUCUGUCAUCUGUUAUACAUAGCGAAUGGCUGAUUAGGUGUGACUGACAGCAGAAUCUUGCCCAUUCAUAUUUCUGUAGAAGUCAUUAAUACUACAUGGUGUUUCAUUUCUUAAAGCAUGCUGAACUAAAAGAAAGGUGUUCUGAUCCUUCCAUAUUUCAUGCUUUGUAAUCAGCAACUGCUAAAGUGACCUUACUACACAAGAAGUAGAAAGAUGUGAAACUGUUUAGCUGCUUUUGGUCACUUUAUUCUGGGUAAAUGUUAUCUGCAAACUCUUGUAUCAAAUUGAUGAAGAUAACUUUUAAUUACAUAUUGUUCCACUUAUUAUUUGUGGGUCUUUUCUUCAGGGAGAUUAAAAUGUCAAGUUUUGCUUCUGAUAAUGAUGAAAGGAAAAAAAAAGCAAUAAGUGUCAAAAUUCAUUAGUUUGCAAUUUCAACAGGGUUUUCUCACAACGCACCAAAUACCUCAUUUGUAAUGUAACAAAAAACCUAAGAGAAUUCACAUGCUGUACCCUGCACUUGUGAACUUUUGGAAAGGACACUCCUGUCCCUUCCCAAUAUACCCUAGGAAAAAAUAUACUAGACCAAACAACUCAAAAGGAAUUUCAUACCCUGUCCUAAUCAAAAAAUGAUGCACUUCAGCAGUUCCCAAAAUCUUUUGAUGGCUAGCUUGAAGUUUCUGUAUUGGUAGAAGACAAACAGAAAUCAACAAAAAUAAAACUAAAUUAUAAUUAGUUCUUAAGGUUUCAUCAUGAAAGCAAAGUUAAAAUAGUGUCUUACUUGAUUUUGAAUUCACUUUUUUAGCAAUGAAAACAAAAUAAAUCCAAUAAUAAAAAUGAUAUGAAAUUGUUCAGGUAAUUUAUCACAAAUAUUACCACUUUAAAUUUCACUCAUCUUUGUGACCAUUAUAAGGGAUAUGAGAAUUGAUGAUGCAGAAAAAAGUUUUUGAAAAACAGAGUCAGAUAUCACUGGUAACACAGACAAAAAAAUAAGAUCUCUGUCAAUGCAAUAUCUGACUCAAGUGGCAAAAGGAAUAAAGUACCUGGAUACACUGCCAAUGAUAGUACAUGAAUCAAGUCCUAAAUCAUGUUCCAAAUUCUCUUCUAAACCUGAGAGACAAUAACUCUUGUUUGAUUGUUCGGUAUCUCACAGCCUGCUUAUCUUUUUUAUUAUUCUUCUCAUCUAAUGUUAUAUACUAUAUUGUUAUGUUUUUAAUAAUUACCCUGAAAUGGACUAUUUCGACUUACAUAGCUUGCAGUUAAUUGUGCAGAAGGGUAACCACUUUUAUUCACUACCAUGAUGUGCUUCUGAUGUUCAAAAAAGAAAAACAAAACAAAACAGAGACAAAAAGCAGAAAGAAUCACUGAAAAUAAACAGAAUGCACCACUAUGUAAGUUUCAUCUUGCAAUUAAAGUUUUUAUAAUGUUUUAACAAU